rnacentral:lncRNA from 10 species
AUAUUGAAAUCACAGUCUAUUAAAAAUUGGGAAAUUUAAUUCAAAUAAAAAUCCAACAAAUAUUUUGUUUGAUUUUUAUUUGAAUUAAAUUUCCAAUUUUAAUAGACUGUGAUUUCAAUAUUAUCUAAAUAUAAAAUAAGAUAUUUUUAAGGUGAUAUUUCUGCUGCAAUAUUUGUUUUGAGUGUGUAGAGCAAAAGAUAAGAUGAUCAAGUCUUCCAAAUUUGGCUGAAAUUGAUAUGCUAAAUGACAAUACAAAAUUUUUUUUGGAUCUUAUGCUACGUCCUUGUACCAUAUACAAUAUAAAUGAACAAGAUUUUUAAUUGGCAUCACAUUCAAAUUAGCAUUGAUAUGAAUACUGUGAAAAGAAUUUAAUAGUGCAACAGAAAAGGUGUAAACAUGCCCGUGGCAUUAUUUUUUGUUGAUUAUACCACACUAUACAGUAAAAAUAGCAAGUAUAAUAACUAAAAGAGAUAAUAUCUAACUACACUGACAUGUAAUAUUUUUUUAAGGAAUGGAGAUCUAAAGCAACCUUCCAUAAAAUUAUCAACAGACAAGGAAAAAAAAACCUUCUAAAUAAUUAAAGACAACAUCCUCCCUCUCGUUCAUGGAUUGAGGGCAUUCUUUAAACUUUCACAAACUUUCCUCCCACUAUUCUUACACCUGCCUUAAACUAGUUCAGUUCCAGGCCAGGGAUUUUAGCCACAUUUUCUGUUUAAUGGGAGGACAUUUGCAAAUGCAGUAACAUCAAUAUAUAUCCAGAUUUGCUGUAAUCUAUACCAUCAUUUCACUGAUAACCUGAAUCCACUUUAUUUUCCCCAUUUUCUCUGAGUCCCAAUGUUCAUAUUUUUAUAGAACUAGAACCAAAUAGACAUGAACAUAUUUGUCAAGGACUUGCUGUCUUAACCUCAAAUGUCUUUCACUGAUGACUACCAUGAUUAUGCUUGAAGAGCCAGGGCCUGUGCAAGUGUGUGCGUGUGUGCAUGUGUGCGCGUGUGUGCAUGUGUGCAUGUGUUUACGUGUGCGUAUGUGUGUGUGCAUGUGUGCGUGUGUGCACGCGCGUGUGUGCAUGUGUGUGUGUGUGCGUGUGUGACUGUGUGUGUGCUUGGUGGGGGGAAUCAUGCGUACAUCUUUGUAUGUAUGCAGGGGCUGAAUAUUCAUGGCCACAUUCUGCUUGAGUGAAUGCGCAAAUCUGUCUUUGUUUGAAUGAAAUGAGAAUUCACCUUUUGGACAUUUAACCAGUCAUAGCCCAUUUAUUUUUUGCCUCAAAG